GAUGAACGCUGGCGGCGUGCCUAAUACAUGCAAGUCGAGCGAACGGACGAGAAGCUUGCUUCUCUGAUGUUAGCGGCGGACGUGUGAGUAACACGUGGAUAACCUACCUAUAAGACUGGUAUAACUUCGGGAAACCGGAGCUAAUACCGGAUAAUAUUUUGAACCGCAUGGUUCAAAAGUGAAAGACGGUCUUGCUGUCACUUAUAGCGGGAUCCGCGCUGCAUUAGCUAGUUGGUAAGGUAACGGCUUACCAAGGCAACGAUGCAUAGCCGACCUGAGAGGGUGAUCGGCCACACUGGAACUGAGACACGGUCCAGACUCCUACGGGAGGCAGCAGUAGGGAAUCUUCCGCAAUGGGCGAAAGCCUGACGGAGCAACGCCGCGUGAGUGAUGAAGGUCUUCGGAUCGUAAAACUCUGUUAUUAGGGAAGAACAUAUGUGUAAGUAACUGUGCACAUCUUGACGGUACCUAAUCAGAAAGCCACGACUAACUACGUG
rnacentral:rRNA from 1 species